rnacentral:lncRNA from 1 species
AACUUCAAUUUUAAUCUGGAUAACGCCAAAGCUUUUCCUCAAAUUCACCCCUGGAGUCAGCUCAUAGAUGCUCUGAUUUUGUCUACCAUUGCUCCUCCUUAAUAUCUCUCGCACAGGUGCCAUUGACCUUUAGAUGGGCUGUACGGUGUGGGGUUCGGUGCCAUGGAUCUGCUUCUCCAGGGACCAGGAUCUUGAGAUCUUCAGGCUGGGUUUCCAUGGAGGCAUGGAGCUGCUUUUCCUCCUUCAUAACUGCACUCAAAACAGCCCUGUUGCUCUAGAAUGGAGACUUGGGCAACUCCUUCUGGCACAGAUUUGUUCACCUCAGGUGAAAUUCAGAUAGAAGCAAGCUGCAGGCAGUUUCACCUCUAAGUCCAUGGGUUCUCAACUGGUAACGUCCUCUUAUGGAUGUUAGCCCAUGAGGUCAAUCCUGUAGCAAUCUAAGGCUUGAGAAAAAUUAAUCUUCUGGAAAAUUCCAAGAAUACAUCUUAGGGAAACUGGCUCUACCUUUAUGACUUGGAUCACACAAGGAUAUGCUUUUCAUCUUGGACUAGAACUGAGAGCCAAUGGAUGUGUUAUCUAAAACUAUCCCAGUGUGUUCACUAUACAGAGGAAGAUUCUGAGAUUCAAGACUCAAGACUGAAGAAGAUCAUUAUUUUUAUUAUUUUAGUCUUAUGCACAAAAUGAUAUCUACUGAAUAAGCAGGUUUUUAAUAGGUGACUUAUAUAUGUUAGCAAAAAUAAACACUUUGUCUUUUAGAUCUAUUCUAGUUUUUCAGUAGCUGUAGACUUAAGUGCUAACUUUUAGCCCAUAGGAUAAGAAGAAACCAAGUCCUAAAAGUAGGCCAGCACCAGGGUUCAGGCCUCUGACUUCAAGCCAAGGGCUCAUCAUCUUGAAUUGCGCACGAAUUUUUACACAGCGCCAAAGGAAACUGCCUGUACUUACUGUUGUAGGUGCUUUGCUGGAUUCAGGAUGCAGACAAGGUCCACGCAUUGUGGUUGGCUUUAUUGAAGUAUCAGAGAAUCAUUUUCUUAAGAGAUGGUAAUGGAAUCCAUGCAUUUGAAAUAAAUCAACAGAAAAAAAUGAUUCAGAAGAGAGGGAACUAGCCUAAGGACAACUGUGAUAUUGUGAAAUAUAUAUAUGGG